UAUACAAGAAAAACCGAAAAAUCUUUACUCACAAGUUAUGUUAAAUAAAAAAAAAUAAAUUAUCAACCGACUCACUGCGAAGAAAAAGGAUUGGAAUUCAAUGUGGUAACAGGAUAAUGGAUUGUUUCUUGGUUUCGGAGUUCGAACUAGUUUUUCUGGAUUCCUCGUAGUUUCAGAUCUCUUUCGGAUUAUUCGGGAUUGUCUACAGGAUUCCUCUGACGGAUGAGUGGACUGCUUGUCCUUCGGAUUUGGAUGACUUCGAAGAUGUUUCAGGAGUUCUCGGAUAAGGUUUGAGAUAUACAUUGGAGUACACGCCAAAUUUCAUCAAUGAGUAAAGUUAGAAAAAUUCAAUUUUAAAUCAACGAUUUCCUCUUCAAAAUAACGUUAAAACAUCAAAGGAUGGAUGAAAAAUGUGCUUUAGGAGCUGAACUAAUUUAAUUGAUACCUUUUGAAGCAAACUAAACGGUUUUAAAUAAGAUUUUUACCAACAAAAAUUUCUCUGUCAAAAUUUUAUGGUUAUGUUUUUCUCGAUGAACUAUGAAAUGGUUAUUUUUAUCACAAUAGAUAUUCAGACUAGAACAAAAUAGACAAAAUACCAAAUACUUUAGGUAACUAAACUACUCAACAAUUAGACUUAUCAACUGGUUUCCACGAUGUAGUUUCUUUUUCUAAAAAUUAGUUAUAUCACCUCAGUAAAUAGUUAAAUUAACUAUCAUAAAUUUAUACGAAUAUUAUUUAAUACGAAUUUA